CCUACGGGAGGCAGCAGUGGGGAAUAUUGGGCAAUGGACGCAAGUCUGACCCAGCAACGCCGCGUGAAGGAAGAAGGCUUUCGGGUUGUAAACUUCUUUUAAGGGGGAAGAGCAGAAGACGGUACCCCUUGAAUAAGCCACGGCUAACUACGUGCCAGCAGCCGCGGUAAUACGUAGGUGGCAAGCGUUGCCCGGAUUUACGGGUGGUAAAGGGCGUGCAGCAGUGCAGACAAGGCAGAUGUGAAAUCCACGGGCUCAACCCGUGCACUGCAUUUGAAACUGGUUACCGUGAGUGGCGGAGAGGUAAUCGGAAUUCCUGGUGUAGCGGUGAAAUGCGUAGAUAUAAGGAAGAACCCCAGUGGCGAAGGCAGAUUACUGGCCGAUAACUGACGGUGAGGCGCGAAAGCGUGGGGAGCGAACAGGAUUAGAUACCCGAGUAGUC
rnacentral:rRNA from 1 species